rnacentral:rRNA from 1 species
AGGGAAUCUUCCGCAAUGGACGAAAGCCUGAUGCAGCAACGCCGCGUGAGUGAUGAAGGCCUUCGGGUUGUAAAGCUCUGUCUUCUGGGACGAUAAUGACGGUACCAGAGGAGGAAGCCACGGCUAACUACGUGCCAGCAGCCGCGGUAAUACGUAGGUGGCAAGCGUUGUCCGGAUUUACUGGGCGUAAAGGAUGCAUAGGCGGAUACUUAAGUCAGAUGUGAAAAUCCCGGGCUUAACUUGGGAACUGCAUUUGAAACUGGGUAUCUAGAGUGCGGGAGAGGAAAGUGGAAUUCCUAGUGUAGCGGUGAAAUGCGUAGAGAUUAGGAAGAACACCAGUGGCGAAGGCGACUUUCUGGACCGUAACUGACGCUGAGGCAUGAAAGCGUGGGGAGCAAAC